GGGCUCCUUCGGGAGCACCGGCGGACUGCUCAGUAACACGUGGACAACCUACCCUCGGGUGGGGGAUAACCUCGGGAAACUGAGGCUAAUACCCCAUAGGCCUCGGAUACUGGAAGGUUCCGAGACUGAAAGCUCCGGCGCCCGAGGAUGGGUCUGCGGCCUAUCAGGUAGUUGGUGGUGUAAAGGACCACCAAGCCUACGACGGGUACGGGCCCUGAGAGGGGGAGCCCGGAGAUGGACUCUGAGACACGAGUCCAGGCCCUACGGGGCGCAGCAGGCGCGAAACCUUCGCAAUGCGCGAAAGCGCGACGAGGGGAGCCCGAGUGCCCUUCCUUUCGGGAGGGCUUUUCUGGAGCCUAAAAAGCUCCAGGAAUAAGGGCUGGGCAAGACGGGUGCCAGCCGCCGCGGUAAUACCCGCAGCUCGAGUGGUGGCCACUAUUAUUGAGCCU
rnacentral:rRNA from 1 species